rnacentral:rRNA from 1 species
AGUGAACGCUGGCGGUAGGCCUAACACAUGCAAGUCGAACGGCAGCACAGUAAGAGCUUGCUCUUACGGGUGGCGAGUGGCGGACGGGUGAGGAAUACAUCGGAAUCUACUUUUUCGUGGGGGAUAACGUAGGGAAACUUACGCUAAUACCGCAUACGACCUACGGGUGAAAGCAGGGGAUCUUCGGACCUUGCGCGAUUGAAUGAGCCGAUGUCGGAUUAGCUAGUUGGCGGGGUAAAGGCCCACCAAGGCGACGAUCCGUAGCUGGUCUGAGAGGAUGACAGCCAAAACGGAAACUAGGACCGGGUCAGGACCCUACGGGGGGGAGGAGGUGGGAAAUAUGGACAAUGGGCGCAAGCCUGAUCCAGCCAUACCGCGUGGGUGAAGAAGGCCUUCGGGUUGUAAAGCCCUUUUGUUGGGAAAGAAAAGCAGCAGGUUAAUACCCCGCUGUUCUGACGGUACCCAAAGAAUAAGCACCGGCUAACUUCGU